rnacentral:rRNA from 2 species
GAUGAGAAGCUUGCUUCUCUGAUGUUAGCGGCGGACGGGUGAGUAACACGUGGGUAACCUACCUAUAAGACUGGGAUAACUCCGGGAAACCGGGGCUAAUACCGGAUAAUAUUUUGAACCGCAUGGUUCAAUAGUGAAAGACGGUUUCGGCUGUCACUUAUAGAUGGACCCGCGCCGUAUUAGCUAGUUGGUAAGGUAAUGGCUUACCAAGGCGACGAUACGUAGCCGACCUGAGAGGGUGAUCGGCCACACUGGAACUGAGACACGGUCCAGACUCCUACGGGAGGCAGCAGUAGGGAAUCUUCCGCAAUGGGCGAAAGCCUGACGGAGCAACGCCGCGUGAGUGAUGAAGGUCUUCGGAUCGUAAAACUCUGUUGUUAGGGAAGAACAAAUUUGUUAGUAACUGAACAAGUCUUGACGGUACCUAACCAGAAAGCCACGGCUAACUACGUGCCAGCAGCCGCGGUAAUACGUAGGUGGCAAGCGUUAUCCGGAAUUAUUGGGCGUAAAGCGCGCGUAGGCGGUUUCUUAAGUCUGAUGUGAAAGCCCACGGCUCAACCGUGGAGGGUCAUUGGAAACUGGGAAACUUGAGUGCAGAAGAGGAGAGUGGAAUUCCAUGUGUAGCGGUGAAAUGCGCAGAGAUAUGGAGGAACACCAGUGGCGAAGGCGGCUCUCUGGUCUGUAACUGACGCUGAUGUGCGAAAGCGUGGGGAUCAAACAGGAUUAGAUACCCUGGUAGUCCACGCCGUAAACGAUGAGUGCUAAGUGUUAGGGGGUUUCCGCCCCUUAGUGCUGCAGCUAACGCAUUAAGCACUCCGCCUGG